rnacentral:rRNA from 1 species
AGUGAACGCUGGCGGUAGGCCUAACACAUGCAAGUCGAACGGCAGCACAGUAAGAGCUUGCUCUUACGGGUGGCGAGUGGCGGACGGGUGAGGAAUACAUCAGAAUCUACUUUUUCGUGGGGGAUAACGUAGGGAAACUUACGCUAAUACCGCAUACGACCUACGGGUGAAAGCAGGGGAUCUUCGGACCUUGCGCGAUUGAAUGAGCCGAUGUCGGAUUAGCUAGUUGGCGGGGUAAAGGCCCACCAAGGCGACGAUCCGUAGCUGGUCUGAGAGGAUGAUCAGCCACACUGGACCUGAGACACGGUCCAGACUCCUACGGGAGGCAGCAGUGGGGAAUAUUGGACAAUGGGCGCAAGCCUGAUCCAGCCAUACCGCGUGGGUGAAGAAGGCCUUCGGGUUGUAAAGCCCUUUUGUUGGGAAAGAAAAGCAGCAGGUUAAUACCCCGCUGUUCUGACGGUACCCAAAGAAUAAGCACCGGCUAACUUCGU